AAAACAAGGCUGCAUUGUAUUUAUUUAUUUAUUUGGAAAAGAAUAAAUUGAAUUAAAAUUGAUCGUACGUAAAAGGAGUUCAAUUGAACUUGGUUUCAGUUGGGUAUUCCUCAACCCAAUAGGUACAAUUAAAAGAAGAUUUUUCUUCCUCCUACCAUCAUUCUCUUAUCUUUAUGAGAAUAAAGUUCGGAAUGUAUAUUCCAAACAUUUUUUAGUGUAUUUUAACGGGACAUGCCACAUUAUGGACUUAACAAUUACAAAAAUUUGGAAAAUAUGUUCCGAACUUUAUUCCCAGAGGCAAAAACAAGAUUUCAGGAGAUAAGAUAAGAGAUUGAAAUUUGGAAUCUAUGUUUUUUUUUACCUGUUGGUUUCUAUUUUUGCCUUUGGAUAAAUAUUUUCGAACGCAUUUUCCGAAUUUUUUUUGCCUUGGAAAAAAUUUCGGAAUGUGUUUUCCGAAAUUUUUCCGAAUUUAAACUAGAAAAACUUUAGAAAAUGCAUUCAGAAGUUUUUAUACAAGGGCAAAAAAGAAA
rnacentral:lncRNA from 1 species